AAAACUUACUGUGGAAAAUGUAUUUACAUACUCAAGUUGUUUGAAACAUAACUCACUGUUUUCCAAUAACUGAAGUAUCCACUUUUACAUGUAUUAAAAUUAAAUAAAAUUAGAAAUUCAGUUCUGCAGUUGCACUAGCCACAUUUUAAGUGUUUAAUAGCCACACGUGGUUAGUGGCAUCUAUAUUGGACAGGGCAGAUCUAGAGAGAAUCCUGUAUCUAACAAUUUUAAUUUUUUUCCCUUUAUGCUGUUAUUCCUUACCUAGAGAAACAAUUUCCCUCCAAAGUUCCUUUGAGGGGUCUGUUUAGGCCAGGCCAACACAAGUGACCUAUGUGGAUUUUAGCAUCCUUUUUUUGAAAUUUGAGGUUUUAUGAAGCUUGAGUUUUUCUGGAUAUUUUUAGUAAUUUGCUGGUGUGUACUUAGCUCAAAUACUUGAUUGCAACUGUGUUGGGUCAACUAUUUCUAAUGGGACUUUUCCAUUUGCAUGUACAGUCACUGGAAACUGCUGGGCAGAGAAACUCUAAAAGGUAGUUGGGGCACACUUUUUCCACCUGUCAGAUUGGUGAAGAAUUGGUGAGGCUGUGGGGAAAAUGGCAUUCUCCCACUUUUGAUGGAUAUGUAUCCAAAUAAAAGUCAUUCCCAUGCUUUCUUUCAUCC
rnacentral:lncRNA from 10 species